rnacentral:rRNA from 1 species
GAUGAACGCUAGCUACAGGCUUAACACAUGCAAGUCGAGGGGCAGCAUGAUUGAAGCUUGCUUCAAUCGAUGGCGACCGGCGCACGGGUGAGUAACACGUAUCCAACCUGCCGAUAACUCGGGGAUAGCCUUUCGAAAGAAAGAUUAAUACCCGAUAGUAUAGUAUUUCCGCAUGGUUUCACUAUUAAAGAACUUCGGUUAUCGAUGGGGAUGCGUUCCAUUAGAUAGUUGGCGGGGUAACGGCCCACCAAGUCAACGAUGGAUAGGGGUUCUGAGAGGAAGGUCCCCCACAUUGGAACUGCGACACGGUCCAAACUCCUACGGGAGGCAGCAGUGAGGAAUAUUGGUCAAUGGACGAGAGUCUGAACCAGCCAAGUAGCGUGAAGGAUGACUGCCCUAUGGGUUGUAAACUUCUUUUAUACGGGAAUAAAGUGGAGUAUGCAUACUCCUUUGUAUGUACCGUAUGAAUAAGGAUCGGCUAACUCCGUG